GAGGGGGACUGAGACACGGCCCCCACUCCUACGGGAGGCAGCAGCUAAGAAUAUUGCACAAUGGACGAAAGUCUGAUGCAGCGACACCGCGUGAGGGAUGAAGGUUUUAGGAUUGUAAACCUCUUUUAUUAGGGAAUAGCAAGGAAGGUACCUAAUGAAUAAGCUACGGCUAACUACGUGCCAGCAGCCGCGGUAAUACGUAGGUAGCGAACGUUGUCCGGAAUCACUGGGCGUAAAGGGUCCGUAGGCGGUUUGAUAAGUCUCAUAUGAAAACUUCAAGCUCAACUUGGAGAGGUUGUGAGAUACUGUCAAACUAGAGACUGUUAGAGGUAAGUGGAAUUCCAGGUGUAGUGGUGAAAUGCGUAGAUAUCUGGAGGAACACCAGUGGCGAAAGCGACUUACUGGGACAGUUCUGACGCUAAGGGACGAAAGCGUGGGGAGCGAACCGGAUUAGAUACCCGGGUAGUCCACGCCGUAAACGAUGAUUGCUAGGUUUUCGGGGCAUCGACCCCUCGUGAGCCGAAGUUAACGCGUUAAGCAAUCCGCCUGAGUAGUACGGCCGCAAGGCUAAAACUCAAAGAAAUUGACGGGGGACCGCACAAGCAGCGGAGCGUGUGGUUUAAUUCGAUGGUAAGCGAAGAACCUUACCAGGGUUUGACAUGUAAGUAGUACUGAACCGAAAGGGGAUGGACCCGCAAGGGAGCUUACACAGGUGUUGCAUGGUUGUCGUCAGCUCGUGCCGUGAGGUGUUGGGUUAAGUCCCGCAACGAGCGCAACCCUCUUUGUUAGUUGCACUCUCUAACGAUACUGCCCUUAAAAGGGAGGAAGGUGGGGAUGACGUCAAAUCAUCAUGGCUCUUACACCCUGGGCUACACACACGCUACAAUGGCAAGUACAGACGGUUGCCAACCCGCGAGGGGGAGCUAAUCCGAUAAAACUUGUCUCAGUUGGGAUUAUAGGCUGAAAUUCGCCUAUAUGAACGUGGAGUUGCUAGUAAACGCAGGUCAGCACACUGCGUUGAAUACGUUCCCGGUCCUUGUACACACCGCCCGUCACGUCAUGGAAGUUUGUAACACUUGAAGUCGUUGCGCUAACCCUUUGGGAGGCAGACGCCGAGAGUGGGACGGAUGACUGGGACGAAGUCGUAACAAGGUAGCUGUACCGGAAGGUGCGGCUG
rnacentral:rRNA from 1 species